rnacentral:tRNA from 1 species
UAUAUUCCAGUAUUUGUGUACUUAAGUUUUUGAAGCUUAAAGAAAUAAUUAAUUUUGUUG